AACGAACGCUGGCGGCAGGCUUAACACAUGCAAGUCGAACGGGCGUAGCAAUACGUCAGUGGCAGACGGGUGAGUAACACGUGGGAACCUUCCUAGGGGUACGGAACAACUCAGGGAAACUUGAGCUAAUACCGUAUACGUCCGAGAGGAGAAAGAUUUAUCGGCCCUUAGACGGGCCCGCGUCGGAUUAGGUAGUUGGUGGGGUAACGGCCUACCAAGCCGACGAUCCGUAGCUGAUCUGAGAGGAUGAUCAGCCACACUGGGACUGAGACACGGCCCAGACUCCUACGGGAGGCAGCAGUGGGGAAUCUUGGACAAUGGGCGCAAGCUUGAUCCAGCCAUGCCGCGUGAGUGAAGAAGGCCUUAGGGUUGUAAAGCUCUUUUGGCAGGGACGAUAACGACGGUACCUGCAGAAUAAGCCCCGGCAAACUUCGUGCCAGCCGCCGCCGUAACAC
rnacentral:rRNA from 1 species